ACUGUGUGUUGUUGGGUAGGGGAGCGUUCUGUAAGCCUGUGAAGGUGUGUCGUGAGGCAUGCUGGAGGUAUCAGAAGUGCGAAUGCUGACAUAAGUAACGAUAAAGCGGGUGAAAAGCCCGCUCGCCGGAAGACCAAGGGUUCCUGUCCAACGUUAAUCGGGGCAGGGUGAGUCGACCCCUAAGGCGAGGCCGAAAGGCGUAGUCGAUGGGAAACGGGUUAAUAUUCCCGUACUUGGUGUUACUGCGAAGGGGGGACGGAGAAGGCUAUGUUGGCCGGGCGACGGUUGUCCCGGUUUAAGCGUGUAGGUGUGUGUUCCAGGUAAAUCCGGUUCACUUUAACACUGAGGCGUGACGACGAGGCACUACGGUGCUGAAGCAACAAAUGCCCUGCUUCCAGGAAAAGCCUCUAAGCAUCAGGUAACAUCAAAUCGUACCCCAAACCGACACAGGUGGUCAGGUAGAGAAUACCAAGGCGCUUGAGAGAACUCGGGUGAAGGAACUAGGCAAAAUGGUGCCGUAACUUCGGGAGAAGGCACGCUGACACGUAGGUGAAGUGAUUUACUCAUGGAGCUGAAGUCAGUCGAAGAUACCAGCUGGCUGCAACUGUUUAUUAAAAACACAGCACUGUGCAAACA
rnacentral:rRNA from 1 species